GGGAAAGAAGACGCGGGAAUAAGGAGGGUGCAAGCGUUAAUCGGAAUUACUGGGCGUAAAGCGUGCGCAGGCGGUUAUAUAAGACAGAUGUGAAAUCCCCGGGCUCAACCUGGGAACUGCAUUUGUGACUGUAUAGCUAGAGUACGGCAGAGGGGGAUGGAAUUCCGCGUGUAGCAGUGAAAUGCGUAGAUAUGCGGAGGAACACCGAUGGCGAAGGCAAUCCCCUGGGCCUGUACUGACGCUCAUGCACGAAAGCGUGGGGAGCAAACAGGAUUAGAUACCCUGGUAGUCCACGCCCUAAACGAUGUCAACUGGUUGUUGGGUCUUCACUGACUCAGUAACGAAGCUAACGCGUGAAGUUGACCGCCUGGGGAGUACGGCCGCAAGGUUGAAACUUAAAGAAAUUGACGG
rnacentral:rRNA from 1 species